GGACGGACCCCUGGUCUACCGGUUGUUCCGCCAGGAGCAUCGCCGGGUAGCUAAGUCCGGAUUGGAUAAGUGCUGAAAGCAUCUAAGUACGAAGCCGACUUCAAGAUAAGAUAUCCAUUAAGGGUGGUUGUAGACUACGACCUAGAUAGGCUACAGGUGUAAAGGCAGCAAUGUCAUAGCCGAGUAGUACUAAUUGCCCGGACGCUUUCAAUGG
rfam:Dysgonomonas gadei ATCC BAA-286 genomic scaffold supercont1.12, whole genome shotgun sequence.